CUCGGAAACACCACCGUGCACAUUACUGCGUUGAGCCCGCCUCUCCGACGCUUUUUCAUUCGAUAGUUGCCUUUCAUGGGCGGAGAACACCACCUUAAUUUGACAGAGUAUUGGCCUGAGGUGAUGCCAGUAUUCGUCACAGUUCCCCAGGAUGCGGAGGCAGGGCGAAUGGGCAGGGCAGGGGGGCUCCUCUAGUGCAAAGUGAGCUCAACUUCUGUGAGGUGGUGGUGUGCAUUAUAUGUUAACCUCCACCUAAACUUUAGCAUUUCACUUUCAUUGUCUUGGAUGGAGAUAAAUUAAACUGAGCCUUCAGAUUUGAGUGAAGGCUGAUCCCUGCGACCCUUUUAAUUUCCCUCUGAAAGAGGACUUGGAAGCUGCGGCUAACCUGUUUUUGGGGAAGCCACAUUGGGCCGGUGUCGUGGGAGAUUCCUCAGCGCUGGAUGAAGACCUGUCCUGCACCCAAUCAAUGACAAUCCUUAAUAGGCCAACUGUACGUCGCUUGCUUAUCUGGUAUGUAGACCUAUACGCACCAUGAAUGCAGCUUUAGCAUAUGGACAACUGCUGUUAUAGGUCGGUCUUAUUUAUAGACACUACCCCGAUGUUGCCUUGACCAUCCCAUAAUGCCCUCUACUGUCAACACGUCAGGUGCUUUAUUCGUUUGGUAGCAUUUUAUCAGUGGCCUAUUUUAAUGUCAUCAUAACUUAUUUUUUAUCUCAAUGUACAGUUUGUUUUUAAAAUCAUAACUAACAUUUGUGUUUCGUUGCAGUCUUAUUGUCUCUGGUGUAAAUCCUUCUUAUAAAAGUGACCUGUUGUCCAUCAAUCAUAAUAUUUGACAUGCCAAUACUCCACCCUCAUCAGCCAUAAACAUUCAGAAUAUUAUUAUCAAACACAAACAUACACACACACCCUAAACUUAAUACGAUCACAACAUUAAUAUGAAUGUUUGUGAGCGUUAAUAACACGCUUUUUAGGCAACUCAUUUAUGUGGACUUUCAGAACGCCAGAAAGUUUUGAUUGAUGUUCCAUCGAAUUGAGUCAUAACUGGUAUGUUGUACAUAACCUACCAGAGAGCUGAGGGCUGUCCUCAGUGAAAUAAUUGAUUGUGUGGGAUUGGGUGUAAUAACAUUUAACACCCUUUGUGUUAGCUAUGCCAUUGAGCCAUUAAUAUUUCAUCUCUUUCUUGCUAAAACUACAGUUUUUCUAACUGGUUUCGUCAGUUGAUUUCUCUUGUAUACUAGUAUAAUGUCACAUGACCAGAUAUGGGGGCUCCUAUUGGUAUAGCAGCACUCAUGUUAAGGCAUCAGGAAAGUCAGACAUAGGCUGAUAGGUUGUCCAGGCUGUCAGAGAUUUGUGGCUUAUCCAACGUCAUGCCAAGCCACACACGUCUGGCUGUGAUCUGCCUAGUCCAUUUACACGACCAAAUCUGCCCAUUAAACCUGUAAGUCUGACUUUCUGCCUUCAAGGCACCACUAAAUAAAUACAAUUUACAUUG